rnacentral:misc_RNA from 1 species
GAUGAAGAACGCAGUGAAAUGCGAUACGUAAUGUGAAUUGCAGAAUUCAGUGAAUCAUCGAGUCUUUGAACGCACAUUGCGCCCCCUGGUAUUCCGGGGGGCAUGCCUGUCCGAGCGUCAUUGCUGCCCUCAAGCACGGCUUGUGUGUUGGGCCCCGCCCCCCGGCUCCCGGGGGGCGGGCCCGAAAGGCAGCGGCGGCACCGCGUCCGGUCCUCGAGCGUAUGGGGCUUCGUCACCCGCUCCGUAGGCCCGGCCGGCGCCCGCCGGCGACCCCCCUCAAUCUUUUCAGGUUGACCUCGGAUCAGGUAGGGAUACCCGCUGAACUUAAGCAUAUCAAUAAGCGGAGGA